rnacentral:lncRNA from 1 species
AUGAGAAUAUCUUUACAUGUGAACAUAGAAAACAGCUUCCCGCACUGUAUCCCUUGGAGCGGCGGCUGGGACCUCGGCGGCGGCGGCCGCUCUGGGAGCAGAGCGCUACUGCCAUCUGGUGGCCACAGGCUGGAGCUGCCGCUCCUCAUCCCACCGCGCGCGGGGCCCAACACGGGGAGCGCGGGGGUGGACCAGGCUUGGCCUCAAAUUACUUUGAGUAUAAUUCGAUGCCAAAAAUGUUCCAUUUCCCGGGACGCCUGGGGGGCUCAGCGGUUGAGCCUCUGCCUUCGGCUCAGGGCGUGACUCCAGGGUCGGGGAUCGAGUCCCACGUCGGGCUCCUCGCAUGGAGCCUGCUUCUCCCUCUGCCUGUGUCUCUGCCUCUCUGUGUGUGUCUCAUGAAUAAAUAAAUAACAUCCUUUUUAAAAAUGUUCCAUUUCCCAGCCAUUUUUAAGAGUUCACCAUAGACCCUAAGUCUGCUUCAUUUGGAACCCCUUAAGUGUAGUCGUUCAGGCAGGUGGAAGUAUUGUAGACAUUCGCACAUUAUUCUGGAACGGGUGCGGAGGAAACUGAGGGGUCCUUCUGUCCGAGGAGGCGAACCUGGUGGCCGGGCACCGAGGUAGAAGGGGAGUCUGCAUAGACAUGGAAACGCAUUAAUUACAUGGUGGGGGUUUUAAGCCAUUUUCAAGCCGCCUUGUGUUAACGCCAGGUACUCCGCGAACGGGCCCACUGGUCCGCUGCAGGUCACCUGACCCUCGCAGCAGCCUGCUGACAGGGGGAGGCGGCUGGGCUGUGCCCAUUUCCCCGACAGCCCUGACAACAGUCACCCCCCCACGCUGGCACGCCCGGGGGGGGGGGGGCGGCAGGCCGGGUCCUCCUGGCUCCUCGCCCCGCCCUGCGCUAGCUCCCUGAGCCCCUCCGGAGCGCGAUCCAGUUGUGCCCAGCGUAGCUCACAUCACGUCGAGGCCCGCAGGCAGAGAGGCGGGCUGGAUCUACCUCCCCGACGCCCGCGUAGCGCUAAGCCAGAAGCAAAACCGUCCCCGAAUGUCCUCAGCCGAAAGCAGCGCCGCAGCCCGAGGUCAUCCGUGGGCGCAUCACACUCGCAGGCCUGUGCCCCGUGCCUCUGCCGGCCUUGCUUUUCCCCCCUGUGAAGUGGGCGGCGGCGGGCAGGACUCCUAGCGCCCGGCGCCGGCGCCUCGCGAGACUUGCGGGAGGGAUCUGCACGGGGAAGGCCGCGGCCCCGACAUAUGCUUAUGAAAACAUCCUCCGAUAUUUUGGGGCAGGGGGCAAAGUCAUAGUGUGCGCUCACACGCACGCGUAGCUCUCCGUGGAGCGGCGCGGCCAGCCUGUUCGCACCCGCCUUAGGCCGCACGGGCGCAGCCGCAGGGACGAGCGGGCGCACGCGCCCUGGCUGCCUGGGGAUGCGUGUCCCCGGCCCGGCAGCGCGGGGUCGGCAAACAGCAGCCCGCGUGUGGUUUUCAGACGUGAGCGUUUGCUCGCUGUGACCUUUUGCACCAAUUUCGAUUUUUACGAGCUUCUCCCUGUGCGUCUGUGCUCUCGCUCAGAUACACGGAUAACAUCUUGAAGGAAAGAGGAGCGGCCGAGUGACGGUGCGGACCCCAAGGGCAUGCAGUCCCGCCCGCCGCAGCCAUUCGGAGCUGCCGUCGUGGCCCCGGCACCGCCACCUCUCGGGGGAGGGCUAACCCGGGCCGCGGCCUGGAGG